UCUUCCUUGGUCUAGUGGUCAUGAUUUCCGCUUGUCAAGCGUUGAACCAAUGCUGCAAGCGCGGGAGACCGGGGUACGUUCACUCCCAUUCUGAACAUAGACAUCAUUCCUAACUUGUAAAAAGGUUCGAUUCCCCGAGGGAGAG